AACGAACGCUGGCGGCAUGCCUAACACAUGCAAGUCGAACGAGACCUUCGGGUCUAGUGGCGCACGGGUGCGUAACGCGUGGGAACCUGCCCUUAGGUUCGGAAUAACUCCCUGAAAGGGAUGCUAAUACCGGUUAAUGUCUUCGGACCAAAGAUUUAUCGCCUUUGGAUGGGCCCGCGUUGGAUUAGCCAGUUGGUAGGGUAAAAGCCUGCCAAGGCGACGAUCCAUAGCUGGUGGGAGAGGAUGAUCAGCCACACUGGGACUGAGACACGGCCCAGACUCCUACGGGAGGGAGCAGUGGGGAAUAUUGGACGAUGGGCGAAAGCCUGAUCCAGCAAUGCCGCGUGAGUGAUGAAGGCCUUAGGGUUGUAAAGCUCUUUUACCCGGGAUGAUAAUGACAGUACCGGGAGAAUAAGCUCCGGCUAACUCCGUG
rnacentral:rRNA from 1 species